rnacentral:misc_RNA from 1 species
GAAAAACCCACAGACAAGAUCCAAGAAGCACACAGAAGUUUCUCAUCUUGCAAAGUUGCUCACACAAUGCAAAUGUGCAUGCAUAAAGCACUCAAAAAGAUAGAGAGAGAACUAAGAAGCUCAAACCUAAAUGAAUUCUAUGCAAGAGGAAUUGACAUUUUAAUUAGAAUUCCAACUUUUAAGCAUUUAUUAAGUUCACAAAAUAUAUAUAUCGGCUCCAUUUAUCCAUAAAAGAUAAUGCCUAUUACUACUUUCAUUCCAGGGAAGAAAAAUGAUCAAAUGAAUAAACAUUGCAAGUUGCAACCCUGUACCCUCUGUGAUCAAGUUAACAGAAACAAGAAUGAUAAUAGACAAAUCACAAUGGAGUGCAAGAAACAUGCAUAUAAUAAUAUCAAAAUAUUAUAAUGAAUAAUCCAAAGACAACAUUUGAAAUAAAUGGGACAAAUACAGUUUUCAAACAAACCGAAUAUUCAUAUUUACCAUUCCAAGAUUGAACACAGCACUAUAUUACACGUUUAUAGCACGACUACGAAUAUAAGGGAAAAGGGCAAAGGGAAAGGGGGAGGGGGGGUUGGUAGGAAGCAAAAAUCAGAAGCACAAAGCAGUAAUAUGCAUAGUCAAGCACAAAAAUUCAUGAACACUCCAAUAAUGAAACUCGACAAAGAACUUAACCUUGGAUUCUCCCCUGGGUUUAGACUAGUUAAAAGCGGAAGAAAAGAAAUUUGCUCACAAAUGCUAAAGAAACAAACCCAUUUCUAAGGAAACUGCUUUUCCCUUUUUUUUUUUUUUU